ACGAACGCUGGCGGCGUGCUUAACACAUGCAAGUCGCACGGAAAGGCCCUGCUUUUGUGGGGUGCUCGCGUGGCGAACGGGUGAGUAACACGUGAGUAACCUGCCCUUGACUUUGGGAUAACUUCAGGAAACUGGGGCUAAUACCGGAUAGGAGCUCCUGCUGCAUGGUGGGGGUUGGAAAGUUUCGGCGGUUGGGGAUGGACUCGCGGCUUAUCAGCUUGUUGGUGGGGUAGUGGCUUACCAAGGCUUUGACGGGUAGCCGGCCUGAGAGGGUGACCGGCCACAGUGGGACUGAGAUACGGCCCAGACUCCUACGGGAGGCAGCAGUGGGGAAUAUUGCACAAUGGGCGGAAGCCUGAUGCAGCAACGCCGCGUGCGGGAUGACGGCCUUCGGGUUGUAAACCGCUUUCGCCUGUGACGAAGCGUGAGUGACGGUAAUGGGUAAAGAAGCACCGGCUAACUACGUG
rnacentral:rRNA from 1 species